CUCAAUUUCAGCUAGACAAGCAGCCACAAUGCAAGCUGGCAUGCUUUCAGAGGCAUAUAUGACUUAGUAACUCACUGAUGUGAAUGCCGAAAGCCUAGCUUCACUUUAAAAUGUUAAUAUUUUAAUUCUUAUGCUCUCUUACUUUCUGAUACAGAUUGGAUGUUUACUUGCAUUAACGGUAUUCUCAGAAAAUAGCUGCCAGAAAACAGACUCUGAAAAGUACAAAACCUCUUGAGUUGUAUGUGGUAUAAUUCAUCCCCUUCCCCCACAUUUAAAACAUAGUAACUUUAUGUGUUUUCUUUCUAAGCAUAUUUCAUCUUUAACAGGAGGUUAAGCAAAACUUGGUUUGUCUAGACCAUCACUGCUUCAAAGACUGAAUGGCAACAGAACAAAAAAUCCUUAUCUUAUUUGCCUUUGCUAGUAAAGGGUUUGUGUAGUCAUGUUAGCCAGGGCGUUUAUGCAAGUCUUGGGACCAUUUACACAGCAAUCAGAAAACGUAUCUCUUUCCAAACAGUUUCUCAAUGUGAUUACAUAUCCUAGCUAUUAUUUGUGUUUCUUUUAGGAUUCUUUUAGGGUGGACCGUAUGCCACAUUUGGGUGAAUUUCACUGGGACUGGAUGACUUCUGAACUUCAGGAAUCUUUUCAGAAUCAUGACAUAAAUUCUUGUUCUGCUGGUGAUGGUGAUAAGGGGUGUUGUGAUGGGUCAACACGACAAGAUACAAGGUAAGAAAGAAUCCUCUGAAGGCCAGUCUCCAUAGUAGUUGAAGAAAAAGUCCUGGAUCUUUCCCCUAGGAGUUCAGGAAAGAGUAAGUUUUCCUUUUUUCCUUUUCAGACAAAAUCUUUAAAAUGCAUAUGUGUCACUCAUGUCUUUUACCACAUGUUAAAACGUAGUCAUAUAUGUGUUUUUCUGAUGAUUACUCCAGAUUAAAGAACAAAACAGUGUUAGAAGGAAGGAGUGAAAUCAGAUUUAAAGAUUGGUUAUAUCCAAUCUUACCUAAAAGCUUCCAGUAGACUAAAACCCAAAGCUUCCUUUUUCUCUCAAAACCAUGCCAGAUUUUUUGUUAAAUCUGCCUCAUCUUGUUCAGACCCAACACAGCUCAUGUUAUCCUCUGGGUAUGCCUCUGUCAGCCUGGAAAAGUUUAGGUUUCAAUGAGGCUCUAACCCCUCAAGUCAGAUGAUUUUAUCUGUUUGUAAUGUUGGCACCUGUUCCUGUCACUUAUAUAGUAGCAGUUUACUUUAUUAUUAUUAUUAUUUUCUUCAGAAAGCUGGCAAUCUCAACCACAGUAGUGUUUCUGUCUAAUCCUUUCUGG
rnacentral:lncRNA from 1 species